rnacentral:piRNA from 1 species
UCCACUGUUAACACCAUGGCUGGUGUCCU